GACCCAGGCCCGAAUUGUUACCGUAUGGUGUGCGUUCCGCGGAAGCGGAUAGGAUCUGGGUUUUUU
rnacentral:ncRNA from 1 species